rnacentral:rRNA from 1 species
GACGAACGCUGGCGGCGUGCUUAACGCAUGCAAGUCGAACGGAAAGGCCCUGCUUUUGUGGGGUGCUCGAGUGGCGAACGGGUGAGUAACACGUGAGUAACCUGCCCUUGACUUUGGGAUAACUUCAGGAAACUGGGGCUAAUACCGGAUAGGAGCUCCUGCUGCAUGGUGGGGGUUGGAAAGUUUCGGCGGUUGGGGAUGGACUCGCGGCUUAUCAGCUUGUUGGUGGGGUAGUGGCUUACCAAGGCUUUGACGGGUAGCCGGCCUGAGAGGGUGACCGGCCACAUUGGGACUGAGAUACGGCCCAGACUGCUACGGGAGGCAGCAGUGGGGAAUAUUGCACAAUGGGCGGAAGCCUGAUGCAGCAACGCCGCGUGCGGGAUGACGGCCUUCGGGUUGUAAACCGCUUUCGCCUGUGACGAAGCGUGAGUGACGGUAAUGGGUAAAGAAGCACCGGCUAACUACGUG